GAUGAACGCUGGCGGCGUGCCUAACACAUGCAAGUCGAACGAAGCGCCUUUUGAGAUUCUUCGGAUGAUUGAUUGGUGACUGAGUGGCGGACGGGUGAGUAACGCGUGGGUAACCUGCCCUGUACAGGGGGAUAACAGCUGGAAACGGCUGCUAAUACCGCAUAAGCGCACGAGGAGACAUCUCCUUGUGUGAAAAACUCCGGUGGUACAGGAUGGGCCCGCGUCUGAUUAGCUGGUUGGCAGGGUAACGGCCUACCAAGGCAACGAUCAGUAGCCGGUCUGAGAGGAUGAACGGCCACAUUGGAACUGAGACACGGUCCAAACUCCUACGGGAGGCAGCAGUGGGGAAUAUUGCACAAUGGGGGAAACCCUGAUGCAGCAACGCCGCGUGAGUGAAGAAGUAUUUCGGUAUGUAAAGCUCUAUCAGCAGGGAAGAUAAUGACGGUACCUGACUAAGAGCUCCGGCUAAAUACGUGCCAGCCGCCGCAGUAACAC
rnacentral:rRNA from 1 species